rnacentral:lncRNA from 1 species
GAAAUAACAGAUGAAGGCCCGUAUGAAAUGACAGAUGAAAAUCCUUUUGAUUGCGUGCUUCACAAGUUGAAUGUAUUCAGAACCCUAAAAGUUACAUAAUUGAUUCUCAUGAUGCAAUCCAACGAGUACAAAACCGAAUUUCAAGGCUCAAAUCGUUUCAGAUAUUAAGGCGACAAAAAUGUACAAAUAUAGAAAUGUAAAAACUCUCUCUCUCUCUCUCUCUCUCUAACACUUAAGCCUACAACACUAUAUAUAUAGUAGUGCUAUCACAUACUCAAAAUGUAUAGUGUGACUAAGGCAUGAAAUACAACCUCAAUGUGCACACCGAAUAGAUAGAUAUAUGUAAUGUCUUCUACCUUACCUUCGAUAUAGAGUACGGACA